CCUACGGGUGGCAGCAGUGGGGAAUAUUGCACAAUGGGGGAAACCCUGAUGCAGCGACGCCGCGUGAGUGAAGAAGUACUUCGUUACGUAAAGCUCUAUCAGCAGGGAAGAAAUACUGACCUUACGGUCAGCAGACGGUAGCUGAGUACGAAGCACCGGCUAACUACGUGCUAGCAGCCGCGGUAAUCCGUAGGGGGCAAGCGUUAUCCGGUGUUCCUGGGUGUAAAGGGAGCGUAGACGGCGCGCCAAGUCUGGAGUGAAAUGCCGGAGCUUAACUGUGGACCUGCUUUGGAAACUGGCGAACUAGAGUGCGGGAGAGGGAAGCGGAAUUCCAGGUGUAGCGGUGAAAUGCGUAGAUAUUAGGAGGAACACCGGUGGCGAAGGCGGCUUACUGGACCGUAACUGACGUUGAGGCUCGAAAGCGUGGGGAGCAAACAGGAUUAGAUACCCGAGUAGUC
rnacentral:rRNA from 1 species